rnacentral:rRNA from 1 species
CAGCAGCCGCGGGAAUACGAAGGGGGCUAGCGUUGCUCGGAAUGACUGGGCGUAAAGGGCGCGUAGGCGGAGGCCAGGUAAGUCAGGUGUGAAAUCUCAGAGCUUAACUCUGAAACUGCGCUUGAUACUGCUUGGCUAGAGGAUCGGAGGGGGUAACGGAAUUUAUGGUGUAGCAGUGAAAUGCGUAGAUAUCAUAAGGAACACCGGUGGCGAAGGCGGUUACCUGGAAGAUUCCUGACUCUGAAACACGAAAGCCAGGGGAGCAAACGGGAUUAGAUACCCCGGUAGUCCCUGUCUCUUA